GGCCGGUUAGCUCAGCUGGUUAGAGCGUGGUGCUAAUAACGCCAAGGUCGCGGGUUCGAGCCCCGUACCGGCCA
rnacentral:tRNA from 1 species